CUGGAUCUAGUCUUUCUAGUCUGGCAUGUGCACGUCCCCUCACCUUUUCUAUCUACACACACCUGUGCACCUAUUGUAGAUCCCCUCUUGAAAGAGAAGGGAACUAUGUUUUCAUCACAUCACACACAUUGUAUGUCCAGAAUGUAAAUUUGUCGAUCAUUGAUUUGAUUGAUGAUAAAAUCAUAUAUAAUACAACUUUCAGCAACGGAUCUCUUGGCUCUCGCAUCGAUGAAGAACGCAGCGAAUUGCGAUAAGUAAUGUGAAUUGCAGAUUUCCAGUGAAUCAUCGAAUCUUUGAACGCACCUUGCGCUCCUUGGUAUUCCGAGGAGCAUGCCUGUUUGAGUGUCAUCGAAUUCUCAACCAAUCUCUCUUGAUUAAUCUUUAAUGUUUAAUCUUCAAGGGGAGCUAUGGCUUGGAGUUGGGAGUUGCUGGCAUGACUGUCAGCUCUCCUUAAAUGUAUUAGCAAUCGAGUUGGCUAGUCUUUGACGUGCACGGCCUCGGACGUGAUAAUGAUCGUCGUAGCUGGAGCGUCUUUUCUAGACUAUGCACAUAGAUCGCUUCUAAUCAGAAUGGGAAGCAAAGAGUAGAGCAAAUAGUCCACAUUGAUCAUGAUCUAUAAUCUAUCAAGCUUAGCUACUAGGCAGUCUCCUGAGGCUGGCGAACACAAGCAAGAAGGAUUAGGAUUAGGAUUAGGAUGAAAUGCUUGAUCCUUUCUUCUCUACUUCAGAGACU
rnacentral:rRNA from 1 species